rnacentral:rRNA from 1 species
AACGAACGCUAGCGGAACGCCUAACACAUGCAAGUCGAACGAGUUUUGUGUUGUAGCAAUACGGCAUAGAAUUAGUGGCAAACGAGCGAGUAACACGUACUUAAUCUGCCCAGAAGUUGAGAACAACUAUAGAGAUGUAGCUAAUUCUCAAUACGCCCCGCAGAAUGAAAAUAUGCGGGGGGAAAGAUUUAUCGCUUUUGGAGGAGGGUGCGUCCUAUCAUGGUAGUUGGUGAGGUAAUGGCUUACCAAGCCUUUGACGGGUAGCCGGUCUGAGAUGAUGUCCGGCCGCGAUGGAACUGAGAGACGGUCCAUACUCCUACGGGGAGGCAG